CAGAGGGUGCAAGCGUUGUUCGGAAUUAUUGGGCGUAAAGCGCGUGUAGGCGGCUUAGCAAGUCGGGCGUGAAAGCCCUCGGCUCAACCGAGGAAGUGCACCCGAAACUGCCGAGCUUGAGUGCCGGAGAGGAUGGCGGAAUUCCCCAAGUAGAGGUGAAAUUCGUAGAUAUGGGGAGGAACACCGGUGGCGAAGGCGGCCAUCUGGACGGUAACUGACGCUGAGACGCGAAAGCGUGGGUAGCAAACAGGAUUAGAUACCCUGGUAGUCCACGCCGUAAACGAUGAGAACUAGAUGUCGCGGGUGUUGACCCCUGCGGUGUCGCAGCUAACGCAUUAAGUUCUCCGCCUGGGAAGUACGGUCGCAAGAUUA
rnacentral:rRNA from 1 species